rnacentral:rRNA from 1 species
GGUUUACUCUGUNNUGAUUUCCGUUNAGAGAGAUCUUUUGGCACCUCUAAAAAUGGUGNAGAAUANNGGGUGGGNAANAUCUGGUGUCGGCCUGACGCNUUAAUACNUUNACCCCGAGAUGNCAGGGACGUUUAUUGGGCCUAAAGCAUCCGUAGCCGGUUCCACAAGUCUUCCGUUAAAUCCACCUGCUCAACAGAUGGGCUGCGGAAGAUACUAUGGAGCUAGGAGGCGGGAGAGGCAAGCGGUACUCGAUGGGUAGGGGUAAAAUCCGUUGAUCCAUUGAAGACCACCAGUGGCGAAGGCGGCUUGCCAGAACGCGCUCGACGGUGAGGGAUGAAAGCUGGGGGAGCAAACCGGAUUAGAUACCCGGGUAGUCCCAGCUGUAAACGAUGCAGACUCGGUGAUGAGUUGGCUUUAUGCCAACUCAGUGCCGCAGGGAAGCCGUUAAGUUUGCCGCCUGGGGAGUACGGUCGCAAGACUGAAACUUAAAGGAAUUGGCGGGGGGAGCACA